rnacentral:lncRNA from 1 species
CUGCCUUUCAACUCAGUUGUGAAUGAGAUGUGCAGCAUCAAUCUGAUUUUCUAUUCUUCUGUAGACUACUUAUUUUUUCUGCAUGGAUGCUUGCAAGCUUGAGGGUUUUGCCAGAAUUUGUCUAGGCUCGAGUGCAGAGAUUGACGGCUGCAUCUGGAAGACAUGCUGAACACAGCAGAGAGUUAAGAUCUAAUGUCCUGCCCCUCAACACUAGUUGUUGCCAUUGGGUCUCCACUGACUGAAGAUUUCUCUGAUGUGGAUCACUUGUCUGCCAGGCUAUCUUUCUGCUCUCAGCAAGUUGCAUCCCCGGCUGGUUCCCAUAAUCAUAGCUAUGGAACGUGAUAAAAUAGGUCACAACGUGUAACGAUUCAGAUCUCAGAGUCUAGUAUUGUCUUGUCUG